AAGACUAUAUUUUCAGGGAUCAUUUCUAUAGUUUUUUUGCUUGGAAAUGUGUUUUGAAAGCGUUUGUCUCCCAACCCACGAUGAUGAGUUGUGAUGCUCCUUUCUGAGAGUGAAUCAAAGAUGGAGCUGUGGCUUUGGUUGCAGGCUCUGUUGUUGAUGAGCGUUUUUUAUUGCUUAUAGCAAUAUAGACGAAAAGGGUGUGAUCCGAGUGGA